rnacentral:lncRNA from 1 species
AGCAGCUGCCAGCCACGGCUCCGCCGGCCCCGCACCCGGGCGCGGCCAGGCCGUGAGGGGUGCGCUCUGCCUCUCUGAGCCCAGCCUGCCGGCCGGCCCGCUCACCUUGUGGCUCUGGGCCAGAGGAUCUACUACCACAGAACCAUUCUAGAUGUGAGUUCCUAGUGUGAAAGGACUGGGAGUUAACAGAAGAGCCACAGUGAGCAUGUCAGUGAAAAAACCAGUGAAUCGCCUUCCAAACCAGGAGAAAAGAAAGGAUCAGAUGAGAAAAAAGCAGCAAGCCUCGGCAGCAGUCAAUCCUCCAGAACCUAUGCUGGUGGAACAGCCUCGGCCACCAAGGUCAGUGAUUUCCUGAACACGAAAAGACCCCUACUGUAUUCUACAGGGAUAUGAUUAGUGGGUGGGGCCUGUAGGAAUGGCAAACAGUGUCCAGAUAUCACUGAAGGUUUUUUAACAAAGUAUCAUUUCUGUGCUAGAAGAGAGAAUAUAAU